rnacentral:sRNA from 1 species
UCGAAUUCAGUUGGAACUGGCUCAGGUUAAAGCUGACAUCGACCGAAGAAUCCAUGAGAAAGAAGAAGAAUUUGAGGCUACCAGGAAGAACCACCAGCGGGCAAUCGAGUCCUUGCAGGCCAGCCUAGAGGCAGAGGCCAAGGGCCGGGCAGAGGCACUUCGGCUCAAGAAGAAGAUGGAGACGGACCUGAAUGAGAUGGAAAUCCAGCUGGACCAUGCCAACAAGAACAACAGCGAACUUGUAAAGACAUUGAAAAGGCUGCAACAGCAAAUCAAGGACCUGCAGGUCCAGAUGGACGAGGAUGCCAGGCAGCACGAGGAGCUGCGGGAGCAGUACAACCUGCAGGAGCGGCGCUUGAGCCUGCUGCAGACGGAGCUGGAGGAGGUGCGCUCAGCCCUGGAGGGCAGCGAGCGUUCACGCAAGCUGUUGGAGCAGGAAGUGGUGGAGAUCACCGAACGGCACAACGAGAUCAACAUCCAGAACCAGAGCCUCCUUGUGGUCAAACGCAAGCUGGAGUCAGAUGUCCAGCGCAUCUCCAACGAGCAUGAGGAGCUCAUCAGUGAGUUCCGCUCGACCGAAGAGAGGGCCAAGAAGGCCAUGAUGGACGCUGCCCGCAUGGCAGAAGAACUCCGGCAAGAGCAGGACCACUGCAUGCACCUGGAGAAGAUCAAGAAGAACUACGAGGUCACCAUCAAAGACCUGCAAGCCAAGAUGGAGGAGGCCGAGCAGCUGGCUCUGAAAGGCGGCAAGCGAACGAUCAUGAAGCUGGAGGCCAGGAUCAAGGAACUAGAGACAGAGCUGGAUGGGGAACAGAAACAGCACGCGGAGACAGUCAAGACACUGCGUAAGAAUGAGCGUCGCCUCAAAGAGCUGGUCUUCCAGACAGAGGAGGACCACAAGACCAAUCAGCGCAUGCAGGAGCUGGUGGAGAAGCUUCAGAACAAGCUGAAGGUCUACAAGAGGCAGAUUGAGGAGGCGGAGGACCAGGCCAACCAGACCUUGGCUCGAUACAGGAAGACGGUGCAUGAGCUGGAUGACGCUGAGGAGCGGGCUGGCAUGGCAGAGACUGCCCUAAACAAGCUGCGCACCAGACACCGCGUGGCCGGCAAGGGCAUCACCUCUGUGGAGAUCAUCCAGGUGUCCAAGACAGGCACCUCGAAAACCCUUUCUGAGGAGUGAGGCCCUCCGUGUCCUAGGCCACAACCGGGUAAUACAGAUCUCAACUGCAGUCCAUUGAGAGGGAGAAAAUAUGAAAAUGGAAAACGGGGUCUGUCCUGAGAAUGUUUACUAUGCAAAAGAAAGUGCAAGCCAGGAAGAGACAGGUGGUGAAGAAUAAAGAGCGCUAUGGUGGAAAAUGAGCUUGAGAAUGUAAAACCCGCCAUUAGAGGAAUGAAAAUGAGUGGGGCUUCUCUGGAACGGCAGUAAGCAUUUGGAUGACAGUAAUGAUGGAUCUGUUUCAGUUGAGUUCCUACAUGUUCAUGUCAAGGACGGAAUAUGUAAUGUCUGUGACCCGGCUGUUCUCUACAAAGAAUUCCUCAUGUUGACAAUGUUAAUGUCCCAAUAUAGCUUAAAUAAAAGAAACAUUAAAAAAAUAGACC